rnacentral:rRNA from 1 species
GACAGAUGGGGAGCUUGCUCCCUGAUGUCAGCGGCGGACGGGUGAGUAACACGUGGGUAACCUGCCUGUAAGACUGGGAUAACUCCGGGAAACCGGGGCUAAUACCGGAUGCUUGAUUGAACCGCAUGGUUCAAUUAUAAAAGGUGGCUUUUAGCUACCACUUACAGAUGGACCCGCGGCGCAUUAGCUAGUUGGUGAGGUAACGGCUCACCAAGGCAACGAUGCGUAGCCGACCUGAGAGGGUGAUCGGCCACACUGGGACUGAGACACGGCCCAGACUCCUACGGGAGGCAGCAGUAGGGAAUCUUCCGCAAUGGACGAAAGUCUGACGGAGCAACGCCGCGUGAGUGAUGAAGGUUUUCGGAUCGUAAAACUCUGUUGUUAGGGAAGAACAAGUACCGUUCGAAUAGGGCGGUACCUUGACGGUACCUAACCAGAAAGCCACGGCUAACUACUUGCCAUCAGC